UACGUAGGGUGCGAGCGUUGUCCGGAAUUACUGGGCGUAAAGAGCUCGUAGGUGGUUUGUCGCGUUGUUCGUGAAAACCGGGGGCUUAACCCUCGGCGUGCGGGCGAUACGGGCAGACUUGAGUACUGCAGGGGAGACUGGAAUUCCUGGUGUAGCGGUGGAAUGCGCAGAUAUCAGGAGGAACACCGGUGGCGAAGGCGGGUCUCUGGGCAGUAACUGACGCUGAGGAGCGAAAGCGUGGGGAGCGAGCAGG
rnacentral:rRNA from 1 species